rnacentral:lncRNA from 1 species
GUUAUUUUAUUAAACCACAUUGCUUAUAAAUUAUUAAUUUAUAAUUAAUUAUAAAUUAAAGUUUUCAGAGAGAAGAGAGCAGAGCCCAGUGAUGUGUCUGUGAAGAACUAUGGAGGAGGAAGCUCUGAAUCACGGAUGGAAACCCAGAGAUCUGUGUCUCCAGUGACCAGCUGUGCGUCUAUGAAGAGUGAAGACUGGUUCUCUAACUUGGCUUCACAACAACAGGAUGCCAGUUUUGGAAAAAUAUGUAAUUCAGGACUGCAGAAAUCCAGAGGAGAACCACCAGAACCCAGCUGUGUCUAUGAAGAGUGAUGACUCUAUGAGAACGCCUCCUACCUUCAGUGAUGGAGCAGAACCUCCAGAACCCAGCUGUGUGUCUAUGAAGAGUGACAACUCAAUGAGAACACCUCCUACCUUCAGUAAUGGAGCAGAACCUCCAGAACCCAGCUGUGUGUCUAUGAAGAGUGACAACUCAAUGAGAACGCCUCCUACCUUCAGUAAUGGAGCAGAACCUCCAGAACCCAGCU